rnacentral:rRNA from 1 species
GUACAUGCCUAUAGCAUAGCAUUAAUUCAUCAAAUCCCAUUAGAAUUUUGUAGUUAAGUGUGCUUGAUAUAGAGUAGAAUUGUGAUGGGUGACCACUUGGGAAGUCCUAUUGUUUUACAUG